GGAGGGAGCUCAGCCCCUCCACGGAGCAGCCGGGUGAUUUCUGCAGUGUAUUUUGUUCGGUGGCACUUGAUGGAACAGCAAUUGGAGAGAUUUGCAGGCAUUAUCAUGGCAAAUGUCCAGCAGACCGGAUAUGGGGUGAUCAGCUGUUUGAAGGUAAAAGGUAAGAGCCAUGAAGUCGUGUUACAAGAACAUCUGUGUUUAUUGGGACAUUGAAGAGCCUCAGCUCAUGGAUAUGUAAGGUGAAACAGGAGACUUCCUUCACUGCCUUUCUCUGGGAGCACGAUGGGCACUAAUUACCUGCUCACGGCCAAGCUGGCACCCGGCAUGAGUUGUCAGGAGCCUCCAGCCCCUUCCUGAAGCAUGGAGCCACAAUUUCCACUUCAGGUACUUCCUCUUUCCUCUCUUGAGAAGUGAAGAGGGGUGCCUGCUCCAGUAAUUCUCAGCCCCUGCUAUUCUUCCUGUAGCCCUGGAGAACAUCACACCUGGAAGACACCUUAGCAGUCACCUGGCUCCAUCUUCUCUGCAAUGCAACAAUCAUUUCUCCUGUAGCAUCUUGGGCAAGGAUGAGCAGAGGGCACUGGAUUUAAACUCAGAAAGCCUUUCUGAGGCUCGGUUUUCUCAUCAGCAAAAUAUGGAUUACACUACCAGCCUCAAAAUGUUGCAGUAGGGAUUAUAUGAGACCCUAUUCCAGCACAUCUUGGGAGGAAUGCACAAAGCUAGGAGGACCGCUGAGCCACAGGGAGCAGAGUACAGACUCAUCCCCACUCACUGGGGAGACAUGCCUCUUCCACGGGCAACCAUUCGCUCCGCUAAUAGCAUGUCUUUAAUGGAUGACAAUCCCUUAAUCCUCUUAGAAAUGAGGUAAUUCCUACAUUGUUUAGGAAGAAUGGGAUGACUAUUUCACACUUAUACAAUAGUUUGAAUAAAUGGAGUUUGUUAUAAAUAUUAA